ensembl:misc_RNA
GUCACUCGGUGUUCUCACCGAAAGCACGUAAUCGCCGGUGUAACUCAUGUUGGCUGGGGGGCCUCCCGGCGCGCGGAGAGGCUGGGGUGCGCCCCC